rnacentral:tmRNA from 1 species
GGGGUCGACUGGUUUUGACAGCAUGUUUAAUAAUUAAGUAAGCAAGUCGAGCGCUGACACAUAGCUCGUAAAUAAAAUGUUUCACAAUUUUAAAUGGCGAAAAUAACUACGCUCUAGCUGCAUAAUUAACUGAAUUAUAGUAAGUUAAUGCCAAGUUCUGACUAGGUCAGAAAGCUGGAUGUCUCAUAAUAGCUUUUGUUGACAGCGAUUAAUAUUGAGGCACCAUAAAUGUCAACAUCGAAAAACGAAGGCAUCUUUCGUUUUUUUAAAUCUUUUGAUGCUAAGCUUAUUGCAGAUUGUUUUCGUGUAGUAAUAAGUCUAAAAUUUUACGAAAACUAAGCUUGUAGAAAGUUUUUUUAUAAACUGUUUGGACGAGGGUUCGAUUCCCUCCGACUCCACCA